UACGGGGGGGGCAAGCGUUGUUCGGAAUUACUGGGCGUAAAGGGUUCGUAGGUGGCUUGUUAAGUCAGACGUGAAAUCCCUCGGCUCAACCGGGGAACUGCGUCUGAGACUGAUGAGCUCGAGUGCAGGAGAGGAACGCGGAAUUCCAGGUGUAGCGGUGAAAUGCGUAGAUAUCUGGAGGAACACCGGUGGCGAAGGCGGCGUUCUGGACUGCAACUGACACUGAGGAACGAAAGCCAGGGAGCAAACGGG
rnacentral:rRNA from 1 species